rnacentral:rRNA from 1 species
AGUGAACGCUGGCGGUAGGCCUAACACAUGCAAGUCGAACGGCAGCACAGUAAGAGCUUGCUCUUACGGGUGGCGAGUGGCGGACGGGUGAGGAAUACACCGGAAUCUACUUUUUCGUGGGGGAUAACGUAGGGAAACUUGCGCUAAUACCGCAUACGACCUACGGGUGAAAGCAGGGGAUCUUCGGACCUUGCGCGAUUGAAUGAGCCGAUGUCGGAUUAGCUAGUUGGCGGGGUAAAGGCCCACCAAGGCGACGAUCCGUAGCUGGUCUGAGAGGAUGAUCAGCCACACUGGAACUGAGACACGGUCCAGACUCCUACGGGAGGCAGCAGUGGGGAAUAUUGGACAAAGGGCGCAAGCCUGAUCCAGCCAUACCGCGUGGGUGAAGAAGGCCUUCGGGUUGUAAAGCCCUUUUGUUGGGAAAGAAAAGCAGCAGGUUAAUACCCCGCUGUUCUGACGGUACCCAAAGAAUAAGCACCGGCUAACUUCGUG